UACGUAGGCAGCGAGCGUUGUUCGGAGUUACUGGGCGUAAAGAGUGCGUAGGCGGUUUUCUAAGUUUGGUGUGAAAUCCCCGGGCUUAACCUGGGAAUUGCGUUGGAGACUGCAAGGCUGGAAUCUGGCAGAGGGGGGUAGAAUUCCACGUGUAGCAGUGAAAUGCGCAGAUAUCGGGAGGAACACCAAUGGCGAAGGCAGCUUGCUGGGACGGUACUGACGCUGAGGCGCGAAAGCGUGGGGAGCAAACAGG
rnacentral:rRNA from 1 species